rnacentral:rRNA from 1 species
GUCUGGAAAGGCGCGCGAUACAGGGUGACAGCCCCGUACACAAAAAUGCACAUACUGUGAGCUCGAUGAGUAGGGCGGGACACGUGGUAUCCUGUCUGAAUAUGGGGGGACCAUCCUCCAAGGCUAAAUACUCCUGACUGACCGAUAGUGAACCAGUACCGUGAGGGAAAGGCGAAAAGAACCCCGGCGAGGGGAGUGAAAAAGAACCUGA